UACAGAGGGUGCGAGCGUUGUCCGGAAUCACUGGGCGUAAAGGGCGCGUAGGCGGCUCGGUAAGGUUGCGGUGAAAGCCCGGGGCUCAACCCCGGGUCGGCCGUGACAACUGCUGGGCUGGAGCACUGUAGAGGCAGGUGGAAUUCCGGGUGUAGCGGUGGAAUGCGUAGAGAUCCGGAAGAACACCGGUGGCGAAGGCGGCCUGCUGGGCAGUGGCUGACGCUGAGGCGCGACAGCGUGGGGAGCAAACAGG
rnacentral:rRNA from 1 species